ensembl:lncRNA
GACGUAAUAUGACUGACACAGGCCUCACCGAAUAAGCGCUUCCAGGGAGCAUGAUUGGCAGCGGCAUUGACCAAUGAGCGUUCGAGCUGCGGCAGCUAUGGCGUCUGCUGAUUUGCAACCCGCCGAAAUAGGAUCGGUGAAGAAGGAGACCUUCGAUCGGUUCGCCAUGGACUGUUCUAGGAUCAGUAAGGUUUAAAUACGACUCUAACCAUAGAGCGAUACAGAGUUGUGUUAAAAAGCUGGUCAUCGUUGGUCAUCAACAAGCUGGUGCUUGUGAGAGGGAAAAAGAUGGAUCCGUCUGCAGCCUCAACCACAACCUCCAAACAUUGCACAAAUCAUCACACAGCACGUGAUACCUCAAGAAGUCUCCUGUCAGGCUAUACCGCACACGAUCCCAUCGCACAUCCAAAUGCCAACCCACAUCCAGACUCAGUCACACAUCCAGCCCGCUCCACAUCUGCAGACUCCACCGCAAGGCCACAUGGAAGCACAGGCUCAUAUUCCGACCCAAGACCACGUAUCAAUACAAGGUCCAUCAGAAGGCCAGAGUGCCGAGCCGUCUCAAGAUGGUGCAGUGAACUCACUGCAAGUCCCUUUUGCAGAGGUAGCCUCCCUGCUGGACCCUAACAUGAAGAGCUCAAAGGCUCGCAAAUACCAGAUCCAUUACGACGAGGUGAAGAGGAGAUUGGAACCACCUGAAAAGAUGUCUCUCCGAUCUCUGGCUGCCUAUACAAGAGUGAGUCGAGGUCCGGCUAGUAAGAAAACACUGUUGGAGUCUCUAAAUGUCUUUGGUCUGUCACCAAGCACCAAUACAGCAGUGUCCAGUUCCUUUUCCAAACUAACCGAAGGUGACACGGCUGCCCUUUGCAAAGACAUGAAGGAUUUUGCACUGCAAUAUGUCGAUUAUGAGAAUAUGGCGAAACAGCUGCUACCUGAAACAAACCAAGUGCAGCACUGGUCAAAAAUCAUCGAAACAAGGAAUUAUCUAGAGGAGAUGAGGAAGAUUUUUAAUGACCCUCUGAAUACACGUUUGUUCGCCAAUGUUACGCAUGGCCUUGGUAACGGCAUGAUGGACGUGGCUCUCGAUAUCAUAGAUAACGUCAUCGACCGACAAAUCCGAAUCCUCUCAGGGAACACCGACCCCAAACCUGAACCUCCGGUGAGAAGGAUAAGGAAACGCAACCGCAAGCCCAAAGCCGCCACGGAAGACGGCAAACCUAAAGAAAAGGGCAAAAGGGGACGGAAGAAAGGGAAACAGAUGCGGCUGGAUUCUGUUGUUCCUGAGGUUCAACAGUCCUCGGAGAUGGAGAGCAGCAUGUUAACGCUAGUCUCUGUAGGAUACGAAACCAUUUCCAGUGGACUUAACCCCAACAAUGCAGGUCUUGCGUAACAUCACGUACCUGAAAGGUGCAGAGAGACACUGUGAAUUCUGAGUGCAAAAAGUUUUUCAUAGAAAAUUUUAGUUUUAUAAAUGUUAGACUUCUCUCCUUCUCUCAAGACUGGCUAUAUUUUGUUUAGUUUUUUCUCACAAUCUGGUCAGUCAAGAAAAUAUAAUGUAGGUCUGAGAGGAUGUUGGCAGAGAUGUUUUGAUUUAAACCAAUCAUGUAUUGCCCUCAACCUUUUGUUUUGCCGUUUGUGGCAAAGAACAAGUGUACACAGACCAUCUAUGCUAUUAACGUAGCAUGCAAGCAAUUUUUUUUUCAAGCACUAUGUUGUAUUCACAAUAUCAGUUAGUCUCAUUUUAGAAUUUUAUCUCUGAAGGGUUCUUUGAUUCUGUUGAACUUAAUCUUACAAACUCCAAGCAAUUUAGUUUGAGAAUGAACAUAUCUUCUCUUGGACAUUGUUUGAUUUUUUUGGACUAUUUAUUUCCUUUUUCUGUUUGUGUCUGAUAUUUAGUGUAUGUGAACGACUGUAGCCUGUACUCGGUAAGUUUUGCAGAUUGCCCAUUAUGUGCUUGUAUUAAAAGCUUCACCUUUUUUAAGCAAUUUGUAUAUUUAUUACAUUUAUAUUGCUUGCAGAGCGC